rnacentral:lncRNA from 1 species
UGAGUUGUGUAAGGAAGAUGAAAUACAUUCCUAAGCCUUGGAUGCCAAAAAGUUCUUAGCCCAUUCAAAAUGUGUUGGUAACAAAAGGAGAGAGGUGAACAAAUCAGCCCACUCAAGGGGGAUGCUUGUUUUGGGCAAGCUUGGUAGCUAGUUGUCGAAAUGCUUGGUCCAGAUUCUGAGUGUUUGCUGUUGGCUUUCUCUGAGAAAAAGCAUUGUAUCCAGGGUCCACUGAGAAAUUG